rnacentral:rRNA from 1 species
AGAGUUUGAUCAUGGCUCAGGAUUAACGCUGGCGGUAUGCCUAACACAUGCAAGUCGAACGGAAUACUAAUUAAGAGAAUCUCACACUAGUGAGAGGUUCUCACGAGUAGUAUUUAGUGGCGGACGGGUGAGUAACACGUUGGAACCUGCCCCGAAGUGGGGAAUAACUGCUCGAAAGAGUAGCUAAUACCCCAUAGUAUCCGGUUUAUCCGGAUUAAAGAUUUAUCGCUUCGGGAGGGGCCUGCGUCUGAUUAGCUUGUUGGUGAGGUAAAAGCUCACCAAGGCGACGAUCAGUAGCUGGUUCGAGAGGAUGACCAGCCACACUGGGACUGAGAUACGGCCCAGACUCCUACGGGAGGCAGCAGUGAGGAAUCUUCCACAAUGGACGAAAGUCUGAUGGAGCAAUACCGCGUGCAGGAAGACGCUUUUCGGAGUGUAAGCUGCUUUUGUCGUCGAAGAUUAUGACUGUAGACGAAGAAUAAGGACCGGCUAACUACGUG